rnacentral:lncRNA from 1 species
GAAAAAGACAGCUAGCUGAAUAUAUUUAGAUUUAACUUGAAAGCAUAAAGGAUAGCCAGUCUGCUUCUUACGCCUUUGUCCGAUCAGGGGCAUCAACUGGACCUCAGCAUUUACACAAAAUAGGGGAGCUCUGUCUAAACGAGUCUUUUUGGCUGAUCAAUGAAGAUACAAAAAUGGAUUAUCAUUGUUGGCGUUCAAAUAAUGUUAUCUUAUUUACGAUUAACUAGAGCCUUACACACAAUCUUUACGUUUCCAUAAAAUACACAUCACUUUGUUUUGGUAUCGGCGGAUAGACACUGCUUAUCCACAUUUCAACCACACGUGUGUAGAAACAUCUCAUUGCCUGAACUGAGGCAAUGAAUGCAGCCUACUAACGAUGUAGAAAGGACGAUUUUGCAUGAACCGAGAACUUCUUCAGAUUUCUAACUAGCAAAUUAUGUCGUCUAUAAUAUGGAGAUAGUUGUCUACAUUUUCAUCAGGAUCUCGCUGAAAAUUUGUUUUUUGCCAAGGCAACGAACUAGAUUUCGCCACCCCCUCGUUGUUCCAGUCACUCCUCACAGUCCUGUCUUGGAAGGCUGGUUAGGAGGUGCUUUUUCGUGUUAGAUUCACAACUAGCAAUGAUGCUUCAAUAUUUUCUAAAUGUGAGGUAAACUGUUGGCAUAGUUUGCUAACGUUAUAUAUCAAGAAGCGGAGGGCCACUUUAACGAAUGCAUCAAUCAAACAUUAAUUUAAACCAGUGACAUUGGAAUUUGAAGACGGAGCCCAUCCGACCCUUUUCCCCCGAACCUGGAUAUCGGAAUGGUGGCUUGGAGCACCGAUAAUCUGGACACUUCCGGGGAGCCCACUACCCGCUCUGUGGGCACCACUGCCAACUUGAAGGGGAAGAUGAGCAAGAGGCUGUCUGUUGUGAAAGGUCACUUCCCUAAGCUCGUUGACUGUGCCCACUUCCACUAUGACAAUGUGGAGUUUGGCUCCAUCGAGGUAGGUUUCGACGCAAUCAAUCAAUCAAAUGUAUUUAUAAAGCCCUUCUUACAUCAGCUGAUGUCACAAAGUGCUGUACAGAAACCCAGCCUAAAACCCCAAACGGCAAGUAAUACAGGUGAAGAAG